AACGAACGCUGGCGGCAUGCCUAACACAUGCAAGUCGAACGAAGGCUUCGGCCUUAGUGGCGCACGGGUGCGUAACGCGUGGGAAUCUGCCCUUUGGUUCGGAAUAACAGCUGGAAACGGCUGCUAAUACCGGAUGAUGACGAAAGUCCAAAGAUUUAUCGCCAGAGGAUGAGCCCGCGUUGGAUUAGGUAGUUGGUGGGGUAAAGGCCUACCAAGCCGACGAUCCAUAGCUGGUCUGAGAGGAUGAUCAGCCACACUGGGACUGAGACACGGCCCAGACUCCUACGGGAGGCAGCAGUGGGGAAUAUUGGACAAUGGGCGCAAGCCUGAUCCAGCAAUGCCGCGUGAGUGAUGAAGGCCCUAGGGUUGUAAAGCUCUUUUACCCGGGAAGAUAAUGACUGUACCGGGAGAAUAAGCCCCGGCCAACUCCGUG
rnacentral:rRNA from 1 species